rnacentral:rRNA from 1 species
AGCGGAGGAAAAGAAACUAACAAGGAUGCGACYUACGUAACGGCGAGCGAACCGCGCAAAGCCCAACUUGAAAAUCUCCCUUGGAGAAUUGUAGUCUAUAGAAGUACCCUCUGUAACGGGCGCAGCUCAAGUCUCCUGGAAAGGGGCGUCAGAGAGGGUGAGAACCCCGUAAGCUGUUGCUUCGUUGCCUCACGAGGUGCUUUCAAAGAGUCGGGUUGCUUGGGAAUGCAGCCCAAAUUUGGUGGUAAAUCCCAUCUAAGGCUAAAUAUUGGCGAGAGACCGAUAGCGAACAAGUACCGUGAGGGAAAGAUGAAAAGAACUUUGAAAAGAGAGUUAAAAAGUGCUUGAAAUUGUUGAGGGGGAAGCGUUUGAAUGCUAGAGUGCGCCUAGGCUUAUGGGUUCUUAACGGAGCUCUGUAUGUGCUAGGUGCUGGCCAGCAUGGGUUAGGCGAGCGGGAUAAACGCUGGGGUUGAUACCCGGUCUAUGCCGCUUGCUUGACCAAGGCGUGAAGACUGCCCUUGUCCUUCGGGAACUGCAGUCUCAAGAUGCUGGCAAAAGGCUUUCAACCGACCCGUCUUGAAACACGGACCAAGGAGUCUAACAUGUAUGCGAGUUGGUGGGUGGAAAACCCAUGAAGCGUAAGGAAACUGACUGGUGAGAUGGCCUGUGCCUGCAUCAUCGACCGACCAUGCGUUUCUGCAAAAGGUUUGAGUGCGAGCAUACCUGUUGGGACCCGAAAGAUGGUGAACUAUGCCUGAGCAGGGUGAAGCCAGGUGAAAACCUGGUGGAGGCUCGUAGAUGUGCUGACGUGCAAAUCGCUUUUCGGACUUGGGUAUAGGGGCGAAAGACUAAUCGAACCUUCUAGUA